CCCCCCCGCUGCCUUCCCACCCCCUCUCCCCAACCGGGAAGGACUUGACUCUUGACCAGCACUGGUAUAACAGACUCAGCUCAGAGGAAAGGCACGAGGCAAUGGGGGGAGCCCUGGAGGGUGGGGGUGGGGGAGGGCAUGCAGCCCUGAGACCAUUAAAGUGUUUUACAUUCCUGGCUCCUCACCGUGAGCAGCUGGCUGGAUUGGUCGCUGCGAAUAGGUCUUUGCUGGCCUAAAUCCUUGCUGUAAAGCUGAGCUUUGGUGAACCCAAGGCAGCUAAUGGCUCGGCGGGUUUGCAGUAAAGUGAGAACAUAGGUAUUAUCUGUGUUGCCGAGUGAAACGGACGGAGUAACGGUCUCUAGGCAAGCGGAGGCUUCCUCCUUCUGGACAGGCUAGUCAAGGGUGCCUGUGGUGGUGGACAGGGUGAGCAGAGGUCACAGGGUUGCCUCUGAGACAGUGUGUGCCGUUGUGCAUGCGAAGGUCAGAGGACAACUUCCGGUUUCGGUUUCUUUCCUUCCGCUGUGGGAUCUGGAGCUUCAGCACGUGGCAGGCGCGCACAGCAAGUGCUUUAGCUCACCAAGCCCUGCUGGACCUUCUUAAAGCACCUUCUGAGGGCGCCAUUCCCUACUCAGAAAUUGCAGUGUUUCUCGUUGCCUUGUAUGAGAAAGUCUGGUAAAAGUUAAGUGCUUUCUUUUCUACUCUCUCUAUGGGAAAGAACUUAACCGUUUAGACUGUCAAGAAGAAGCAAUGCUCUCUGCAAAUGACUGGCACAGUCAUUUUCCUCACCACUGUGAAUGCCAUCACAAAGGAGCCGUGGCAGUCCCUUGUUACCAUCAGGGAAUGAUUACGAAGCUGCAUGAUCUUAUUUCUAGAUUCCUUAUUUGUGUGAGGAAAACCAAGCCACCAUGUUCAUGGCGCUGUAAGUUUCUCUGUUACAUACGGCCGGAUGCAAUCCUCACUCGUGUUCUCAAUAUCCGUUUCUUCUCGGUGUCCACGGGAGGAUAGACUGCUUUUACCAUGACAUUCAUGAGCCCUUAUGCUCUGAUCUCACCUGACUCUUGGUCUUCUUCUUGGUGUUUUCCACGAGGUUACCCACCUACCCCUACUCCAAGCCUAGUCCAAUCUCUUGUCUCUACAAUCUCGGUGAACUCCUAACUCAUUUCUUUGCCAUUGACUUCUUCCAAUCCAUUCUUCUCAUGAAAGUCAGAGAGGUUUGGUGGAAGGGUCUUACAUAGCCCAGGAGAGCCUUGACUUCACCAUACAGGUUUACAGGCUCCUAUCACCAUGUCUGGUUUAUGUGGUAUUGGAUGCCAGACCCACGGCUUCCUGGUUUGCAGACCAAGUUGCAUCCUCAGCCCUUGGGGGAGCCCUGUACUUUUAUUUAUUAAACACAUUUCUAAAAUAAUUUUUUAAAGAUUUAUUUAUUUUAUUUUAUAUGUUUGCCUGCAUACCAGGUACAUAUCUGGUGUCCGAGGAGAUCAGACUUCGGAUCCAUUAGAACUGGAAUUGCAGAUGGUUGUGAACACUAUGGGGAUGCUGGGAAUUAAAGCUGCUUCCUCUGUAAGAGCAACAAGUGCUCUUAUCAACUGAUCCUUCUCUCUAGCCUCUGGGGAUCUUUUAAAAACUCAAAUCUAGGGUUGGGGAUUUAGCUCAGUGGUAGAGCGCAAGCCUAGCAAGCCCUGGGUUCAGUCCCCAGCUCCAAAAAAAAAAAAAAAAGAAAAGAAAAGAAAAAAGAAAAAAAAAAGAAAAAAAACCCUCAAAUCUAAUCAAGUGUCUUUUCUGCACUUAAAUACCUUCAGUAGCCUUUAACCUCUGUUUAAUUCCAAUCCAAAUGCCUAAGUAAAACCUAAGUCCUGUAAAGAUCUGCAGGAUCAAGACCAUUGGUCAGACUUAGUGUUGGCUAUGCAUUGGAGUCUUCUAGGAAAAAGUCAUCAGUGGUUCGGCCCUGCUUCCUUUUCCUGUGGUGCUGGGGAGUAGAUCUAGUGUGCACUAGGCAAGUGUUCUGCUUGUUAGCCUCAUCCUCAGUUCCUGCUCAUUCUGAGACAGUCUCCUGUUGUUGUAAAAUUAUAAAAAAAAUGCUGUCUUUUACCCUGCACUGUGAUCCGGUACCACAGUGCCCCAAGAUAUGUGUUAGCUGUGGUCAUCUCAGUCAGCAAAGCCUCUCACCUGCUCUGCUCCGUCCCAUAUCACACUGCCGAUGGCUUCUCUCUGAGCCUGGUAACAAUCCCUCUACCCAUCCAGUUCCCAAGGCAGGUUGCCACCAUGCCAGAUAUAAACAUCCCAAUUCUGUGGUGGCCUAGUGUCUCCAGCCACCACAUACUCUCUUAAAUUCAAUUAAAUCGCCACAUGAAAGCACACAGAACACAAUAACCUCUGAUCCAAUUGAUAAGAUAUAAUGGCCCACCUAGACAACAUACAGUUUGCUCAUCUAGAUACACAUCCAUCCCUUAGGAAUAUUCAUAACGACCUGUAAAUGUGCAGAGAGGAAUCUUAACAUCAGCCUCCAUGUUCUCUCCGCUGCUUCUCUCCAGCUCGCUCCAGUCUGCUCCUCCUCUCUAAGACUUUUCUCACGCAUGUCCUUCCUUCUUGUCCAAUGACAGGCCUCAUUCUAUCCCAUACCUGCCUUCACCUGCAUACUGACAUCCUAUAGUCUCCUCAUGCAGUCCAGGUUAGACUCAAGGUUCAAGUUCUCCUAAGUGUUAGGAUUAAAGGUGUGUGUUACUUUUUUAAUAAAAAAACCAAAUGCAUUUUUCUUUUUAGACGACCUACAUGGUAUUUUUUUUCUUAAAAAAAAAAGCAAAAAAAAAAAAAAAACAAAACCCAAAACAAACAACAAUAACAGUCAAAAUAAAAGCUCAAAUGGUGUCACACCCAUUUGUCCUAAGUCCUGGUGUUGUGUGGAUGGUAAGUAGCAGCUAGUUAUGGGGACAGGUGAUAGGUCCAAUUGGUAACUGCAAAACAAGGAGAUUGCAUUCCUGAGCAGCCAAGCUCAAGUGUGAAACUUUCCUAGCCUAUAGAUAGACCCCCCAAUUCAACCUGGAUGGUCACAAAGAUGGGCUCCCAGUGCAACCCAGAAGUGUGUGUUACUUUUAGAUAUUAUGGUUUAGUUGAUCUGGGAUAUGCUGGGAUACUGAUGUGUUUGACAAGCUCCCAUGUAGAUUUGGUUUAUUUCUUUUGGUUGUUCAAGACAGGAUUUCUCUGUUGUAGCCCUGGCUGUCUUGGAACUUUCUUUGUAGACCAAGCUGGCCUUGAACUCAGAGAUCGGCUUGUCUCUUGAAUGGAGUGCUGGAACUAAAGGUGUGUGCUACCUCUGCCAGGCUUCCUGGGUAGAUUUUAAAAGACAGAGGAGUUGAGAACCUCUGCGUUUGAUCAGCUAAUCACCCCAUCCUCACCAAAUACCAGCCUGCCCUGCCUGAGCUCUUCAAAGGCCCUGAGCCAUUCCAGUCUCAGGACUUUGCAGAUGCUGUUCCUUCUGUCUGGAAGGCGUUUUCCCUUGCUUGCCACAUGUCUCCUCCUCCUCUUCCUUUUCCUCCUCCUCUGCCUGCUGCCCUAGAGUAGGUUUAAAUGUCUCCUGUUCACAAAGGCCUCCCCUAAGCACUCAAUGUAAAAUGAUUCUUCUUGUUACUGUUUAGUGUUAAUAAAAAAAAAAACUUUCUUAA